GUGAAACUGUUGGGGGUUUUUCAUAGUAUACCAUGGUACGAGUGUUGCAAAAUAGUCAUUUGCUCUAUUUUCUCUGCUGGUGUGAAGAAACUGCUAUGUACAUAUGCACAGAUGUUAGCUUACCUUCAAUGUUCAAUACAACCUUAUUUGUAAAAGAAAAAAAAACUUUUGAGGAACAAUAUUUAGGCUUCAUUAUCUGAUUAAUAAUAGGUCUCUAGUGAUGCCUUGGCUUCUUUAUAGGUAACUGUUGGCUUUUCUAUAGGUACUGGUAACUAGAGAAAUUAUACUGACCACACUAUGUCCACUGAAGUGAAACACAUAUAUCGACUAAGACACCAGCUUUAGCUAUCAGUUACUGUUUUACCUAAUUUCCUUUAAAGUACUUCAUAUCUGAGGAGAGCAACGUUGGCCGUAGGAGGAAUUGUUGAAUUCAAAAUGUUUUUUUUUUGUUUGUCUAUUUACUUUUACAUUCAUAGGUUGGCAGAAUAAGCAUAGUAUCAACAAAUACUGAGUCAUUCAUUGCAUCAGUAAGUUAAUUUGACUAUCCCUUUUAUAUGUAUUUUCAUCCACAACAUGAAAGUACUUAGUGUGUACUCUGCUUAAAGAAAUGUAUUAACUCCAAACAGUUGUCAAAAUGGUCUUAUGAACUCCAAAACAUUCGCCUCAAUGAGGUUUUGCACUAAUACCACACGGUCUCAUCUUUAGUCAUGCAAUCUCUGAUCUCAUCAAAGUGCAUUUUAGCAAUAGCCAGGUGUAUCCUGUACUGUAUCCUUAUGGGGAAGGUUUCUGUGUUGUUCUCAAUGACACUAGCACACAAAUACUAAUUUUGUUAUACAUUUGUAAUGAUAUUUUAGUUUUUUUUGUGUGUGUGCAUGUGUGUGUGGAGAUAUGUAGGUUGAGUGUGCAUGAGUGUUUGUUGUAAUGUACUUGUGUGUGGCACUGUACUUCAUAAAUAGUAGACUAAUCUCUCAGCUGCCAUGAGUCAUGUGAUUCCUGUCAUGGGGGAUAUAGGCUGCUUCCCAAAAUGACACCCUAUUCCCUUGGUCAAAAUUAGUCCACUGUGUAGGGAAUAGGGUACCAUUUGGGACGUACCCCUAUGAAUAUAACCAGUAUGAUGUACCUGUACCCUAAUGUUCUCACAUCAGUUUACCUGAAAUCCUAAAGGUGCCUUACUUAUCCCCGGUAAUGUUUUUGCAGUCCUGGUUCUCAUGCCCAUAUGUUAGAGAACUCACACUUUUCACUUGGCAGUAUACAAUGGGUUUUCUUUGCCAAAUAAUUGUGUUAUGUGCAACUGUACAAAUGAGCUACCAGCUACCACUUAAAAGUAUAAUUGGCUCAACGUUUUACCCUAAGAACAAUGUGUUUUUGUUUAAAGAAUGUAAUUUGUCAUUGAUAAUAAUUACAAAUUGCUUUCAACUUGCUAUACAUCUGUUGUAACUAGAUAACUUUCUGGUCAGUUCAUGUUUGAUGUACUUUAAACUAUUUAUCUUUAACAGAAAAGACAGACAUUUCUCAUUACAAAUCAUUUGCUUGAGGGUUGUGAAUUGUACCAGUAAGCAAUUAGUGACACACUCAUCCUUGUAUCUGUCUUCCAAGAGUUUGAUUCCAUUACUUUCAUAAACAGCUUCAUUUUCAGUAUUAAGGAUUUUGACAAUUGCAGGACAAUGUGUGCAUGGUUGUUAUUCUAUUUUAUAAAUGAAUGUUAAUGCA
ensembl:lncRNA